GUGCUCACUUCAGCAGCACAUAUACUAAAAAUUGAAUGAUGCAAAGAUUAGCAUGGUCCCUGCACAAGAAUGACAUGUAAAUUCACGAAUUGUUCCAUAAUUUU